GAUUAAGUUAUUAAGGGCGCACGGUGGAUGCCUUGGCACUAGAAGCCGAUGAAGGACGUUACUAACGACGAUAUGCUUUGGGGAGCUGUAAGUAAGCUUUGAUCCAGAGAUUUCCGAAUGGGGAAACCCAGCAUGAGUUAUGUCAUGUUAUCGAUAUGUGAAUACAUAGCAUAUCAGAAGGCAUACCCGGAGAACUGAAACAUCUUAGUACCCGGAGGAAGAGAAAGAAAAUUCGAUUCCCUUAGUAGCGGCGAGCGAAACGGGAAGAGCCCAAACCAACAAGCUUGCUUGUUGGGGUUGUAGGACACUCUAUACGGAGUUACAAAGGACGACAUUAGACGAAUCAUCUGGAAAGAUGAAUCAAAGAAGGUAAUAAUCCUGUAGUCGAAAAUGUUGUCUCUCUUGAGUGGAUCCUGAGUACGACGGAGCACGUGAAAUUCCGUCGGAAUCUGGGAGGACCAUCUCCUAAGGCUAAAUACUCUCUAGUGACCGAUAGUGAACCAGUACCGUGAGGGAAAGGUGAAAAGCACCCCGGAAGGGGAGUGAAAUAGAACCUGAAACCGUGUGCUUACAAGUAGUCAGAGCCCGUUAAUGGGUGAUGGCGUGCCUUUUGUAGAAUGAACCGGCGAGUUACGAUUUGAUGCAAGGUUAAGCAGUAAAUGUGGAGCCGUAGCGAAAGCGAGUCUGAAUAGGGCGUUUAGUAUUUGGUCGUAGACCCGAAACCAGGUGAUCUACCCUUGGUCAGGUUGAAGUUCAGGUAACACUGAAUGGAGGACCGAACCGACUUACGUUGAAAAGUGAGCGGAUGAACUGAGGGUAGCGGAGAAAUUCCAAUCGAACCUGGAGAUAGCUGGUUCUCUCCGAAAUAGCUUUAGGGCUAGCCUCAAGUGAUGAUUAUUGGAGGUAGAGCACUGUUUGGACGAGGGGCCCCUCUCGGGUUACCGAAUUCAGACAAACUCCGAAUGCCAAUUAAUUUAACUUGGGAGUCAGAACAUGGGUGAUAAGGUCCGUGUUCGAAAGGGAAACAGCCCAGACCACCAGCUAAGGUCCCAAAAUAUAUGUUAAGUGGAAAAGGAUGUGGCGUUGCCCAGACAACUAGGAUGUUGGCUUAGAAGCAGCCAUCAUUUAAAGAGUGCGUAAUAGCUCACUAGUCGAGUGACACUGCGCCGAAAAUGUACCGGGGCUAAACAUAUUACCGAAGCUGUGGAUUGUCCUUUGGACAAUGGUAGGAGAGCGUUCUAAGGGCGUUGAAGCAUGAUCGUAAGGACAUGUGGAGCGCUUAGAAGUGAGAAUGCCGGUGUGAGUAGCGAAAGACGGGUGAGAAUCCCGUCCACCGAUUGACUAAGGUUUCCAGAGGAAGGCUCGUCCGCUCUGGGUUAGUCGGGUCCUAAGCUGAGGCCGACAGGCGUAGGCGAUGGAUAACAGGUUGAUAUUCCUGUACCACCUAUAAUCGUUUUAAUCGAUGGGGGGACGCAGUAGGAUAGGCGAAGCGUGCGAUUGGAUUGCACGUCUAAGCAGUAAGGCUGAGUAUUAGGCAAAUCCGGUACUCGUUAAGGCUGAGCUGUGAUGGGGAGAAGACAUUGUGUCUUCGAGUCGUUGAUUUCACACUGCCGAGAAAAGCCUCUAGAUAGAAAAUAGGUGCCCGUACCGCAAACCGACACAGGUAGUCAAGAUGAGAAUUCUAAGGUGAGCGAGCGAACUCUCGUUAAGGAACUCGGCAAAAUGACCCCGUAACUUCGGGAGAAGGGGUGCUCUUUAGGGUUAACGCCCAGAAGAGCCGCAGUGAAUAGGCCCAAGCGACUGUUUAUCAAAAACACAGGUCUCUGCUAAACCGUAAGGUGAUGUAUAGGGGCUGACGCCUGCCCGGUGCUGGAAGGUUAAGAGGAGUGGUUAGCUUCUGCGAAGCUACGAAUCGAAGCCCCAGUAAACGGCGGCCGUAACUAUAACGGUCCUAAGGUAGCGAAAUUCCUUGUCGGGUAAGUUCCGACCCGCACGAAAGGCGUAACGAUUUGGGCACUGUCUCAACGAGAGACUCGGUGAAAUCAUAGUACCUGUGAAGAUGCAGGUUACCCGCGACAGGACGGAAAGACCCCGUGGAGCUUUACUGUAGCCUGAUAUUGAAAUUCGGCACAGCUUGUACAGGAUAGGUAGGAGCCUUUGAAACGUGAGCGCUAGCUUACGUGGAGGCGCUGGUGGGAUACUACCCUAGCUGUGUUGGCUUUCUAACCCGCACCACUUAUCGUGGUGGGAGACAGUGUCAGGCGGGCAGUUUGACUGGGGCGGUCGCCUCCUAAAAGGUAACGGAGGCGCUCAAAGGUUCCCUCAGAAUGGUUGGAAAUCAUUCAUAGAGUGUAAAGGCAUAAGGGAGCUUGACUGCGAGACCUACAAGUCGAGCAGGGUCGAAAGACGGACUUAGUGAUCCGGUGGUUCCGCAUGGAAGGGCCAUCGCUCAACGGAUAAAAGCUACCCCGGGGAUAACAGGCUUAUCUCCCCCAAGAGUUCACAUCGACGGGGAGGUUUGGCACCUCGAUGUCGGCUCAUCGCAUCCUGGGGCUGUAGUCGGUCCCAAGGGUUGGGCUGUUCGCCCAUUAAAGCGGUACGCGAGCUGGGUUCAGAACGUCGUGAGACAGUUCGGUCCCUAUCCGUCGUGGGCGUAGGAAAUUUGAGAGGAGCUGUCCUUAGUACGAGAGGACCGGGAUGGACAUACCUCUGGUGUACCAGUUGUCGUGCCAACGGCAUAGCUGGGUAGCUAUGUGUGGACGGGAUAAGUGCUGAAAGCAUCUAAGCAUGAAGCCCCCCUCAAGAUGAGAUUUCCCAACUUCGGUUAUAAGAUCCCUCAAAGAUGAUGAGGUUAAUAGGUUCGAGGUGGAAGCAUGGUGACAUGUGGAGCUGACGAAUACUAAUCGAUCGAAGACUUAAUCAA
rnacentral:rRNA from 2 species